AUUUUUCUUUGUAUUUGAUUAAAAUGAUAUUUUAUUAUAUUAUUUCUCUAAUUUGUAAAGUAUGGAUCCUUAAACAUAAAAGUUUAUAAUGUUGGUUUGGGAAGGAAUGGAUGUGUUAAUUAAUCUGUUUCUAAUUUCUUUGAGAGACACAGAGUCCAACAGUAACAGUAAAAUUAUUAGCUAAUCCUGGACAAUUCAGAAAAAAAAAAUCCCUAGUGAUUGUGGUUUAAUAUUUGUGAAUGUUCGACUCUUGAGUAUAAAGUUCUAUUUGACUAUUUUGUGAGAUUAUUGUUUAAUGCUGUGCUCACUUUAGCUUCUUUUUGAUUCACAAUAUUUUGUGCAGUUGAUGUGUAUGGUGAACAUAGAUGAUGUGAAUAGAUUCACUGUAAUCUUGGACCAUGCUUAGUAGACGUUUGUUAAAUUUUCCUUGAAAGAGUGAUUGACAGUGUGAGGUCAUUACAGUGUCAGCAUAGAUGCAAAACAAGAUGGCUUUAUUAUUGAGAUGCCUAAACUACCAUGUUGACCAUGGCUCUGUUCCUGAUGUGUUGGCAAAGGUAAGUUAAUAAUGUAAUCAUGAAGCUAAAAUGAUUGUUGUUGACUGAUUCUAAAGUGGCAAGUGUGAGACACACAUAUGUGUUAACACUUCAUGGUUCUGUUCUAAUUAAUAAUAGGAAUUCUUUUUAUUAAAGGGCAUAUUGAGUUGGACCAGUGUAAGGCUUGAUUUUAUGUCAGUGAUAUUGAUCAGAUCUCUGGAUCUUUAGCAAACUAUUUGUAUUAUGGCACAGUUUACAUAUAUCCUUUAUUCUUACACUUUGUUGUACCUUCUAAUUUUAAAAAAGUCACUAAUUUAUAUAUUUUAAAAUAUGAAUCAGAAAACACUAAAUCAACUGGCAUCUUCAGUGCCAGUGAAUGCUACCUCUGACCUAUAAAACAAGUUAACAGUUUUUCCAAUAUUGUUGAGCACAUUAUUGCACUGGAGAAAAUUUGGGUUGCCACUCAGAUUUUGUGAGUAUUCACAUUUUUGAGUCAAACACUAGACCUUCAUUUUUCUCCAUCUUAAUACAGAAUUAUUUUUCUGUAUAUUACUAAAGUCGUACUUUUUAAAGUGUUGUAGGUAAAUUCAAACUAUUAGUUGUUUUUGGUUUUUUUUUUGAGAAGAGAGAGGAGAGAGAGAGAGAGAGAGAGAGAGAGAGAGAGAGAGAG
rnacentral:lncRNA from 1 species